UCUUGACUGUUACGUUCCAAUAAAAAGUUUAAGCUUUUCAAAUCGUGUGCCAUCAGCUAUAAAGUGUUGUUAUCCGUUUCUUUGUUUUUGAAGUGAUCUUGUGAUCGGAUAUGCCAGCUGUCAAAUCAAAAAAUUUGCAACCUUAAUUUUGCCGAUUGAGAGCUCGUGGAACCUAAAUUGCUAAGGAAGCUAACUGGAGAAAGGCUAUGAAUGUCACAAAUGCUAUAGAUUGCAAUUUCAUCUUCUCGUUCUGCUACUCGUCAUGUCAGUUCAGAUCUGGCAAGUGCACCGUAUAUUGGGUUGUCAACCAUUAAACAUCACCAUUUGAGCAAUUCUGUUGGCAUUUCUACCGAUGCUGUCAAGUGGCAGGAUGUUGUGUUGAGUGAUGAGUCUGUGGAACAGAAAGUGCAAAGGACGCUAAGCCUGAAGGAAGGAUACCACUGCUGAAAAAUAUGUUUGUUUGAAAUCGUCAAGUCAUCAAGUCUUGUUUUUCUUAUAUUCCUGGCCGGCUCAUCAUCUCAUCCAACACGUCCUCGCCUCGCCUUGCCCGUCGUCGCCUCGCCUCGCCCGUCUUCGCCCCGCUGUUACCGC